UCUGCCUGCACCCCGUCUUGUGAUGGGCCUCGGGGCCUGUGAUAUCCUCUGCCAGGGUGAACCCAGUUGCCUCCCCUUGGAACCGGAUGAAGCCCCAGAGAACUGCUAAGGCUCACACCAUGCGGAUGAACAGACUCGAGCCUUGGUUCCACAUUUUGCAUAUGGGGAAACCAAAUCCUGGAAAAGGCCCAAGCUGGGUCAUGCUGUUCCAUGUAUCAAGAGAGACAAGCAGGGAAGGAGGCACAGAGAAGCCUGGAGCUGGCAGAGGGUGACCCCAAGUGCUUCCACACCUCUGACAUGGGGACUGCAUGAACCUUUGAAAGAAAGCCUGAGGGAAACUAAACUCUCAGUACUGGUCCUGAGAACUCCACAGGACGGUAGGACAGGCCUGGGGCAUCUUAGUCCUAGCCAGUGUCAGGACUAAGAACUGUAUACUACAUCCCCUUAGGCUAGCUGCUUAAGUUACUGUAGAAUAAUAGUUAACUCCCUCAGAGUCAGGACAGGGUGCUGAAGGAAGGUCUCCACACUCCUGGCUUAGAUUUUCCAAGAUCUGAGACCCAGGGAUGUGGAGGGUUUUUCACACAGGUGGAAGAUUCUAUGUGCACAGCAGGAGGGGAGGGGAACGGGCUUCCAACUUGGUGGGGUAGUGCUAGUUUGCCUUCCAAGCAAAUCUCUAGAAAUACCUAGAAAGUCCCGGCUGGUGACUCCCAGGCUACCACAAACAGAACUUCUUUUUUUUUUUUGGUUUUUCAAGACAGGGUUUCUCUGUGCAGUCCUGGCUGUCCUGGAACUCACUUUGUAGACCAAGCUGGCCUUGAACUCAGAAAUCCACCUGCCUCUGCCUCCCAAGUGCUGGUAUUAAAGGCGUGUGCCACCACUGCCCGGCUCAAACAGAACUUCUAAAGUGGGUCCCACUAACUCUUGCUUCCACUGCCCUUGAAGGUGGAUAUUUUAUCUCUGUUUUACAGACACGGACACGAAGCUAAGAGAAGGUCCACGGUUCAGGAUUCGAAGACCUCUCCCACUGUGUGGUGAGAGUCAGCUGAGGUCAACAAGACGGAAGCGGCAGGCAGAGAGAGCACUGACCCAAGGAAUCCGUUCUAGCUCCUGACACAGGGACCCUGACAUGCCGCGCGCAUGCAAAGCAAAGCAAGCACUGGGACUGGCCUUGCUGAGAGCUGUGAAGACACAUUACAGCUCUCAGGUGGGCCGUGCGGACUCACAGGGAAAGCACAGCACGAUUGUCCCCACCCCAGCCCACAGGAACCACCCUCUGGGCUGCUCCACAACCCUUGUCAACCUGUGAGGUCAUCUUGUAGGUGGAUGGACUGCAAGGGGGACUCACUGCUGCAGUAACAAGGCUGGCUCCUGCGAGGCACCUGCCAGCGAGAGCUAUUCUUGAGGCGCUUCUCUGAUUUCCUUGUUCUGCUUUCCUUUGGAGGCUGAGGGAUCCCUAGAGUGAGGUAGCCCUCUUACCAGCAUUCAGCUUGUGUGGAUGGUGAUACGGAUAGGUCACUCCUUGAAGCUCGGGGCUUCUAUCUGAGACCCCUGUGGGACCUUUGGACCUAAGAAUUAGCAGCAAGGGGCUCUUCCUUUGAAUAAAAGGACUCCAAUCUCCAGAAAACAGUGCUACACAGAGUAA
rnacentral:lncRNA from 1 species